rnacentral:sRNA from 1 species
UGGUACUUAUGUAGUGGGCAUACACUGU